UGUGUUUUCUCUUAAGGACUCUUUCAAGUCAAAUCAAUUUGAUUAUUCACUUUAAUAUGAUGGUUGAUUAACAAUCAAUGAUUUGGCAACACUAAUUCUAAUUCAGGUCCUAAAAGGAAAGCAUCAUUAGAAGUGGUGCACAAACAUGGCCCAUGCUCCCAACUAAAUCAUAGUGGCAAAGCAGAGGCUACAAUAUCACACAAUGAUAUUAUGAACCUAGACAAUGAAAGGGUAAAGUAUAUUCAGUCCAGGCUCUCUAAGAAUUUGGGUGGAGAAAAUAGAGUGAAGGAAUUGGAUUCAACUACCCUACCCGCCAAGUCUGGUAGACUUAUUGGGUCUGCAGACUAUUAUGUUGUUGUUGGUCUUGGUACACCCAAGAGGGACUUGUCACUCAUUUUUGACACAGGUAGUUAUCUUACAUGGACUCAGUGUGAACCCUGUGCUGGUUCUUGCUACAAGCAGCAAGAUCCAAUCUUUGAUCCAUCAAAGUCUUCAUCGUAUACCAAUAUCAAAUGCACAUCUUCGCUCUGCACUCAAUUCCGUUCUGCGGGUAAAUCUUUACUUUUGAAUACAGAAAAUAUUUAAAUUAUUGGGAUUACUAUAAGUGCCUGAGUAAUCCUAAUAAUUAUAUAUAUAGUCUGCUACCAUCAAAUGUUUAGAUAGAAAACAACCAUAAUUUUACAAUAUCACAAAUCCAUCAAAUAUAGAUCUAAGUAUUUAGACGGUUGCUUACUUGAUGAAAAAUAAAAAAUAAAAUAAAAAGUAAAAAUCAGGAAACUGGUGUUAAAAAUAAAGAUGCGAUGCAACUUUCUUUUUUUCUUUUCUGAUCUCUCGCUCACACAUGCACACGGAUUAAUACAGAGUGGUCCUAGACCAAUACUUGUUCAUGUUCUAGCAAAUGUUUAUCUAAUACACUAUGUAAACAAAUUAUGUAUAUAUAUAGAAGGGUUGCAAUAUUUGAUUAUAUUAUUAUUUAAUUAAUUUUUUUUCCAUGCAGGAUGCUCCUCAUCCACAGAUGCAUCAUGCAUAUAUGACGUCAAAUACGGUGACAAUUCCAUCUCCCGCGGCUUCUUGAGUCAGGAGCGCCUUACCAUCACCGCCACCGACAUCGUCCACGACUUCCUCUUUGGCUGUGGCCAAGACAACGAGGGCCUCUUCAGGGGCACCGCCGGCCUCAUGGGCCUCAGCCGCCACCCCAUUUCCUUUGUCCAACAAACCUCCUCAAUUUACAACAAAAUUUUCUCCUACUGUCUCCCCUCCACCCCCAGCUCCCUUGGCCACCUCACCUUCGGCGCUUCCGCCGCCACCAAUGCUAACCUCAAAUACACUCCCUUUUCCACAAUCUCCGGCGAAAACUCCUUCUACGGUCUCGACAUCGUCGGCAUCUCCGUUGGCGGCACCAAACUCCCUGCUGUCUCCUCCUCCACCUUCUCCGCCGGUGGCUCCAUCAUCGACUCCGGCACCGUGAUCACGCGGUUGCCUCCGACCGCGUACGCCGCGCUCCGGUCGGCAUUUCGGCAGUUUAUGAUGAAGUACCCCGUUGCCUAUGGGACCCGCCUACUUGACACGUGUUAUGAUUUCAGUGGGUAUAAGGAGAUUUCAGUUCCGAGGAUAGAUUUUGAAUUUGCCGGUGGCGUCAAGGUGGAGUUGCCAUUGGUGGGGAUACUCUAUGGGGAAAGUGCGCAACAACUGUGUUUGGCUUUUGCUGCAAAUGGGAAUGGCAAUGAUAUUACGAUAUUUGGGAAUGUGCAACAAAAGACACUAGAGGUCGUGUAUGAUGUUGAGGGUGGGAGGAUAGGGUUUGGUGCUGCUGGGUGCAACUGAAGUUAGUUUGAUUAAUAGUGGUGUUAAUUAAACAUGCUUUGGGCUUGUUAGGGAGGAAGAAAUCUUAAUUGGCUCUGGCAUUUUUAAUUACUAUUGUUGUUGUUACUGGAAAGUACUCUAAAACAUAUGAAAAAAUAAAUAAAGGAAAUGAUGUGGGAAAUAUGAUGUAACAUGUAGAAUGGAGGGGGUGUUAUAUUAUACAUAUGACUCCCAACCAUUGGGGUUGCUUGCAAUUGCACAUACAUGGCUAAUAUGGUUUUAUAAUAGUUAACUUAGCUAAACAUAUUAAAUUUAUUAAUAAUUUAUACUUUGUUGAACUCAUAAGCAAAAAAAAAACUAAUUUUACACUAAUAAAAUUAGUUGAAAUAAUUUAAUUUUAUUAAUUUAAAGUAAAAUAGUAAGAUUAUCUCUACAAAAAUUUUAUUAGAACUUGAUAUCACGAAUAAAUAAAAUACAUAAAAAUAGAAUUCAAUUAAAUAUAUUUUUUUAAAAAAUAAUAUUAUUAAAUAAGGAUAAAUAAUUAGAUUUGUUUAUAUUUAAAUUCAAGCCCUUAAAAAAAUUAAAAUUAUCAAAGAAUGGAAUAUGUCACAAAAUAAACAUAAAAGCGUCGUACGAAGAUUUUGUGACUAGCAAAUGCUCUCACAAAUUUUGGCGUCCUAUAAGCACUUAAGUGAGGGACUUUUUGUCCCGUCACAUACAAUGACAGAAUCUAUUGUGAUUCAUCUACCUCAACCCCCACUAGACCAAUCUUGUGUGUAGAAUGUGAGAAUAAAUAAUCAUUUUUCUAUGUAAAUUUGUAAAUAACAAUAAUACAUUAAAAUCAAAUAUAACGAAUAAACAAGCUAAAUAAUUAUGAGUUUAAUUUGCUUGAUAUCUCAUAAUAUCCAGUAGUGAAUAUAUUAACAACAUUCAAAGUUUUGUUUAACAUCCAAAGUCUUAAAAUACCUAUUUUAUAAAUAUCUAUUUAAAGUCUUAUAAUUUGUAACAUAAGUAGAAUAUAUAAUUAAUUUUCAAACACCCAUAUUAUCAUCUAAUUCAUCAUCUUGUUGAUCACGUGUAGGAAGUUAUGGACCACAUUGAAUUGGUUGAGAUCUUUGACCAACUGAAACAUUCUCCAUAAAUUAAGUCAUUUUUGCUCACAAAACAAAUGGCCCUCUUGUGAUUCAACAAACAUGUCUUUCAAGUUCUUAUCUUUUUCAAUCAAAUCGAAAACUUUAGUUCAUUUUCUCAUAUUCAUGCGAUGAGAAACCAUAAGAUGAUAUGGAUGAGAAAGAAAGCUUGUAUUUCCUUGCCUCUAAACCUAGACCAAAUAUCAAUUGUUAGAUCCCUUAAGAUAUAAAACCUUUUUUCUUAUAUAUGAGUUUAGAUGAAUUAUUACUCUUUCAAAAUUAUCCUUCAUUUUUUUCUACUUAAUUAUUUCUUACCUAAUUAGUCGUAGUCGACCUCUACUAAAAAAUAGUCUCAAUUAAUGUUAGUAAAAUAAUUACCUUUUCGACCUUGACUAGAGUUUUUUUCCCAAGGCAUGCUUUAAAAUUUAAAAAUCCAAUGAAAUUUAAUAACAUAUUUUGGAUAUAGUUAGUUACGGAAUGAUUCUAUAUAAUCUAAUUAUAUAACCUGAUUUCUUUGAAAACUCCUAAUAAAAACCAAUUAUUGUUUCCUUUCAAAUGUGUGAUUUGAUAAAGGAACUCUAUUCUUUGACUCACUUCCUAAUUUACUUAGAAGAGUUUCUUAAAAGUAUUAAUGAAUGAGGUUCCUAAUAUAUUUCAAAGAGGUUUUUAAAAGUUUUAUUGGAUGAGGUUUCAAUGCUACAUUACUCUAACAUUGUUGUUUAAGAUAAAUAAAAAGGAAUAAAUUAUAUUUUUAAUUGCACUUUUUAUCUUUAUUUUUUAAAAAAAUUUGAUGAUUUUUUUCUUAAAAUUAAUUUGUCAUAUUUUAGACAUAAUUUUUAAAAAAUUUGUGAAUUUCAUCAUUUGUCAUUCAUUUAUUAAUAAGCAAAAGUUAUGACUAUAGUUUACCAAAAACAAAAGUUUAGGACAGAAUUUGUUAAAAAAUAAAAAAUGUUGCGUAAAAAAACUUUCAAAAAUCAAAAAGUUAGAGAUAAACAAUGUAAUUAUUUCAAAAGGAAAAUGACGGAAGAUAAACAAUGUAAUAAUUUGAGAUAAAUUAUCUUAAAUUAAUUUUUUGAGGUGAAAUUUGUCAAAAAUUAUAGAAGUUAAGAGUAGAAAAUGCAAUUAGACCUAAAAAUUAUAGAGAUUAAAAAAAAUUAAAUCACCAUAGUUAAAAUUAUAUUUAAACCAAAAAUUAAUAAAUAGAAAAUAAUGUGAUUGAAGAAAGUACUACUCCGAUGACGUUACACCACCAACAUGGCAAAACCUCCAUUCAAAAGCCCUAGGUAUUCCCCGAUAUACUUUUGAGGAUCAAAGGGUCAACUGACUUUGUACAAACAAAAGUCAAGUCACGUUAGUCGAUCGGAUUGGUUGCGUAUAUUGCGGUGGAAACUUUGAUCUUAUCUCCACUUUUUAUUUUUUUUUAAUUUUACACUAGGAUAUAUUUAAAGGAUUUCAUACAACUGUUAUAUUUUUUUUUAGUAAGAACUAUGUAUACUGAUUAUUAAUAAUAAUAUUUGUUUUUAAAUUAAAUAUAUGCAUAUGAUUAUUAUUUUAAUAUUAAUCGACGAGUUAACAGGUUAGAUUUCCAGACCAAUUAGUUUAAAAAUUAAAAUCCAUGAUCCAACAUGUGUAUGAAAAGGUUAAAAUAGAUUGUUCAAUGUGUUUGAGUCCAUUUGGAUCCAUUUGAGUUAGAGAGUGACACAUGUUUUUGAACAAUUCUAAAUAUGCCCGUGUUACAUAUAAAAGAUUAUAGUUGUAGAUGAGAUAUGUGUAUAAUAUAAAUAAGUCAUAAUUACAUAGUAAUUUUCACUUUGGACCAACAUUUGCUAAUUAGAGUUAAGAUGAAUAAGUUUAUUUACUUUUUAAAAUAAAGUUCUUAUUAUUUCUUUUUAUGACUUAAGUUUAAGACAUUAUUUUUAAAAAAGUAAAUUAUGUCAAUAAACAAAUAUUGACAACUUAAAGUUAAAAUAUAUUUUAUAUACAUUGAAAAAAAUAUAUUUUUAUGUAAAAAUGCAUACAUAUAUUUGUGUACAUACUUGCAUUUGUUUGUAUAAAGUUUGAGGAAACUCAAUAAUUAUAGUUCAAUUGAUAAUAUAAGUUAAUUUUGUAAAAAAGAUUUAGGUUCAAUUUUCAUAUAAUAGAUCACCUUUGAGAAGAAGUAAUAGAUUUUUGGUGUGACUAAUUCUCAUCGAUAAUUAAUCUCAUUAUCCCUAAAUGCCAUAAUUAUUGUUAUAACAAUGCUAAGCAAUAUUAGUGUUGAGAUUGACCAAGAAUAACAAGCUUAAUUAAUAUUAAUGAAGUAGUGUAUUUUGGUAUACAUAUUUAUCAAGUGACGUUAAAGAAUUAAUAAUCUAUAUAUUUGGACACGAUCAAUGAAUUAGCCUAUAAAGACCAAGUAUUCCGACGGAGUUGUCGUAUAACCAGGCUUAUGUAUAUAUUAGCUAUUAAUCUUCAGUUGACAUGCACAUCCAAAUGUCUUCUUUCCUCUUAGCUUCAAUUCGCUUGCACUUUUGUUUUUCAUCUCCUCCUUGGAGAAGAGCUUUGCCUUUCAAGCAACAAAGGAAAGCAACAAUCUUCGUCAUAUCAUUUUGUUCACCUCAACUCUCUAUUUCCAUCAUCUUCUUGCAGCUCUUCUGCCAAAGGUCAAUCCAAUCUUCAAUUCCUUGUUUUUUUAUUAUGUUUUUCAAUAAUAGCUAGAGUUUCUCUUUGAUAAUUUAAGUUAACAAUCAAGUAAAUCUUUUUAUAUGAAGUAUUGAAGAGAGACUCUUAUUCUAAUUGAAGAGGAAUGUUAAUAUACUCUCUCUACCACUCUUUCUAGUGAGACUUUCUUUAAAAGUUAGAAGAGAAAAUUAUUAAAUAAAACAUAAAACAUUCAAAAAUUAAUAAUUUUUAAUAAAUUUCAGCUAAAAAUUAACAAGGAAUUUUUAUCUAGCUAAAAAUUGCAUACCAAACCUAGAUAUAAUUGAUGUGUACCCGAUAAAAUGUAGAAUUAUAUUUAUUGAUUGAAAAAAAUUAAUAAAUGAUAUCAUAACAAAUGCAUAUAAAUAUGUAAUAAAUUACACAAUCAUUAAAAUCUGGUUUCCUUUUAACUUUUAGCUAUUAGCUGUGUACGUGUUUUCUCUUAAGGACUCUUUCAAGUCACAUCCUUAUGUUAAAUCAAUUUUGAUUAUUCACUUUAAUAUGAUGGUUGAUUAACAAUCAAUGAUUUGGCAACACUAAUUCUAAUUCAGGUCCUAAAAGGAAAGCAUCAUUAGAAGUGGUACAUACACAAACAUGGUCCAUGCUCCCAACUAAAACAUAGAGGCAAAGCAGAGGCUACAAUAUCACACAAUGAUAUUAUGAACCUAGACAAUGAAAGGGUAAAGUAUAUUCAGUCCAGGCUCU
rnacentral:lncRNA from 1 species